rnacentral:rRNA from 1 species
UACGUAGGGCGCAAGCGUUUAUCCGGGAAUUAUUGGGCGUAAAGAGCUCGUAGGCGGUUUGUCGCGUCUGCCGUGAAAGUCCGGGGCUCAACUCCGGAUCUGCGGUGGGUACGGGCAGACUAGAGUGAUGUAGGGGGAGACUGGAAUUCCUGGAUGUAGCGGUGAAAUGCGCAGAUAUCAGGAGGAACACCGAUGGCGAAGGCAGGUCUCUGGGCAUUAACUGACGCUGGAGGAGCGAAAGCAUGGGGAGCGAACAGG